rnacentral:lncRNA from 1 species
ACAAAGUUUAUAUUAGAGCGUCAUCCAUUAAUGCUUUGGCUAGGAGGGACUUUCUUGAUGCACUUGAUAUGGAUUAUAUAAAUCUAUGGACAAAAAUGACAUCAGUACAAUGGAAUAUUGGAGUUUUCUACCAUAAUCUCUGCAUAGUGCACUGAUUUUGACAAUCACCUAUGGAUGAAAAUACAUUUGCCAGAGUCUAGGAGUUAAAUGGAAAAGUUAACAGCACACCGUUGGAGAAAAAUAUCUGGGAGUAGAUGCAUUCAAGGGAGUAAGAAGAACAAUUACCUGCAUCACCUCACCCCCAGGGUCCACUUCUUAGUGCCAAGAUAGACUCCCUUCAGCAGGCAAUUUCUCCCAUGGGGAAAAGGAGAGUAUAAUGAGUGAGUAUCCAGCUUUUCCAGCUGUGUGAGGCACAUCCCAAGAAGCCCAUCUUUCUUUCACUCAACUCAGAAUAUUGAGGGUAUUAGCAUGGCUAAGUGGCUGGGACAGGGCAGUAGCAGGAAAGAAAGGAGAGGACUCACAGCAACCAGGACUUGAAACUCAGUACAGGGUACAUAUCCUUUGAAGCAUUUCACAGAGCCCAUCAGGAGGCCCACCCAUGAACCACUUGGGACACCAUAUCUGUAGCAUCUCCCUGCAACUGGCCCAUAGGAGCCCCCGAUGUUUUGUGCAUAUUCCCCUUCCCUUUCUCCUAUAGUCAGUUGCCUGCACAUGCACUCCAGAUGGUGAGUGUGAGCAUUUACCUACAGCUUUUGAGUACAUGCAGUCAGCAGGCUCAACUUUGAAGGAUUGGGAGGAAUACAAAAUUGAGCAUUUCAGGGCACUGUCCUAGAGGAAACAAACAGAAAGCUUUCAGGACCCAGUUUGGUUUUGUGGAUUUAAGAGAAGACACACAAUCAUCAGAAUUUCUUCUCCACCCAUCCAAGAAGUGUGGAUUGGGUGAAUCCAUAGAAAAGAUCUGAGAGAGCCUCAGAUUCCCUAUAGGCUCACUGUUGAAGAUAUUUCUCUCAAAUCCAGUCAGUAAAGACUAGAGAAAGUGACUCUUUCUUCAAAUGUGAAGACAGCAGUGCAAGACUUUGAGGAACAUGAAAAAUCAAGGACACCUAGUACCACCAAAGGAACAUAAUUUUCUGGUACCCAACCACAAAGAAAUGGAGAUACACAAAUUGUCUGACAAAGAAUUCACAACAAUUGUUUUAAGGAAGUCAGUAAGCUACAAGAGAACACAGAGAACUUAAUGAUAUUAAGAAAGCGACACAUGAACAAAAUAAGAUGUUCAACAAAAAGAUAGAAAUUAUUAAAAACAACCAUGAUUUUCGAGCUGAGAAUACAAUGAAUGAAAUGGAAAACACAAUAGAGUUUCAAUAGCAGACUUGAUCAAGCAGAAGAAAGGGUCUGUCAACUCAAAUACUAGUCAUUUGAAAUUAUUCAGUAAAAGAAAUAAAAAGGAAUGAAAAAUGCUUAUGCGAUUGAUGCAACACCAUGAAGAGUAGUCAUAUAUGCACUAUGGGAGUCUCAGAAAAAGAAAGAGAUAAAGGGGAAGAAAACUAACUUAAAGAACUAGAUCAGUCUCUCCUUAUCUGUAGUUUUGCUUUCCUUGGUUUCAGGUACAGUACAAUGAUAUGUUUUAAGAGACAGACAAUGAAAGAGAACAUGCAAAUAUUGACAUAAUUUUUAUUACAGUAUAUUGUCAUAGUUUUUCUAUUUUGUUAUUAGUUGUUAUUCUCUUACUGUGCCUAAUUUAUACAUUAAACUUUAUCAUAGGAAUAGUGGUGGUGGCCUGUCUGGAGUGGCCACUGCCAGGAUGCCAGCUGCAGCAGGGGAGGUGUAGCUGGGGCUGUGCACUCCGCAGAGCUGGGGGGGGCCAGGAACAGGUGAUCCUAGUGGGAGCCCUAUAUGCUACUGAGUUAGUGGGGUGGGAGCCUGUGCUCCCAGGCAUAGCUGCAGCUGCCCAGCCAUGGCUCCAGCCCUAGGCAUACCUGUGCUCUCAGGGGCCCUGGAAGUCCCCUGCCCUUACAGGCUUGGAAGUGCCUGCUCCCAUUCCCUGGCCUCUUUCCACUGCUGGCACCUGCUCUGUGGCAGAGCAAAGUUGUGGAUGUGUUGUGAUAGCUGAGCCUGGGAGCUGUUGUGACGUGGUCAGGUGUGUGUGUUCAGGGCAGUUCUGAUACACCAGACUCCCCACUGCCUUUGCCCCCUCUGGAAACUGCUUCUGAGGCUGAAACUUUGGAUAUUAAUGAGCAAGGAUGGUGGGGGAGGCCAGGACGGCUGAGGGCAGCUAGGUGUGGGCCUGUGGACACCCCUUAGUGCGGACAGUCUGGGUGCUGUGGAUGGCAUGUUGAUGGCAGCGAGAGGCAGACAUGUUCCUAGGUGGGAACGGGUGGGUCCCUGGUGAAACCUCACCUUCAAGCCAGGGACAGCUUGAAGCAUGGGGGCCUGGCUGCCAGUUCCGGUUGCAGUCUGUGACCUGGAGUGAAAACUUCAUUGAUGUCUUUCAGCCAAUUGGAUGGUGCUUUUUCCAGACCCACAAAUGGCUGCCCAUGGACCAAGCAGUAUGUACUUCCUCCAUUCUGAGCCCAUGAAAACCCCAGACUCAGUCAGACUCUGACACUCAUCAGGAUGACAAGCCUGCAAAUAGGAUCUACCCAUUUUGGGUAUGCACUCCACUGAGAGCUAUUCUGUCACUCAAUAAAGCUCCUUUCUGCCUUGCUCACCCUCCAGUUAUUCACAUAACCUCAUUCUUCCUGGAUGUGGGACAAGAACUCAGGACCUGCUGAAUGGUGGGAGGGAAAGAAGCUGUAACAUGUUCCUGGCCAGCUCACCAAGCUGCAGGUGGUGACAUACUCCUGGACUAUGGGAGUGAAGAGUAGUGACCCUUCUGGGGGCCCAGACCUUGAGAUUCUCCGAGCCAGAGCUGCAGUAACACUAUAGCUCUCCUGCCCUCUGCUGGUGCUGGGUGGCCCCCCAAUGCAACAGGACGCAGCAGCAGGCCUGGGCCAGCCCAGGAGCUGGGAGCCUGAGUGGGGUGGUGGAACUGAAAGGGCUAUAACACAAACCAACCAAAACAUGCCCCACUCACUUGCUGCACUGUGGGUGAGGAGAAGGAGAAAAGAGCUGCAGCCCUUCUAGGAAGCCAGACUUUGGGGCUCCCUGAACUAGGGCUGUGACAUGCUGUAACACCUUCUUUAGGAUUCUGCACUUCCUGGCCUCUCUGAGAUUUUGGAUGCCACCGUGUUCCCUUUGUCCAGAUGCUGGUGUCCGCAGCAGAAGCCACUUGUGAUAUAUCUGGUCCAGCUGCAGCUUCACAUGGAUGAGGUGCCUGUGCCGGUGCCUGUGCCAGUGCCUGGAGCUGCCCGCCCCACCACAGCAGCUAGCAUGCCUGGCUGUGUGCAGUGCCAGAUCCCACACUUGCUCACUCACACACACCUCACCGCUCCAUGCCUGGCUUGCCCUUGGAAGGAGUACGAUCCAGGCCGGUAGCAUGAGCCAAGUGCAGCCUGCCAGCCUGAGUGGACAGAACAAGCCCAGGGGGCAUGAACAAAACUCAAGCAGAAGCACUGCUGUCCACAGAGGUUUCUGGCUGGCAAAGCAACACCCUAAGGAUCCUAUGACAAUAGGUUUGCUUUCCAUAUGCUGGAUGAUGUGUGUGGAUUUUCAGUGUGUGUUUCAGAGUCUUAAAAGCUCAUGCUAGCUUGCUUAACAUACCUGCCAUAACUCAUGAUAUAGAACCCUAUGGAGAACUGUGUUGCAACAUGGAUGCAGUGCCUAUACUAAGGCACAUUGCCAAGCUGAAGACUGUCAGAGAGCAUCACUAACGGAGGGUUGUUUCUCGUACUGGACAUAGGUCACCUUUGCUAACCUCUUACAGAAAUUCUAAACUUUGUGAGAGGAAAUGCAGAAAUGUGAGAGAAGAACAAGGAGCUAUGUGAAGAAGAGAGAUGGAAAUGGAUUGAGACUGUUGAAAUAGGAGAAAAUAUCUUGGUUUUGACAUCAUUUCCAAAGAAUCAUAGUUAUCAAAUAAAAAAUUUCACAAUUAUCCAAAAUUAUAAUAAAAAUUCAGUGGCUGGCAAAAUGGCUGAAUAGGAUCAGCUCUGGUGUGCAGCUCCCAGUGAGAUCCACACAGAAGAUGAGUAAUUUCUGCAUUUCCAACUGAGGUACUUGGCUCAUCUCAUUGGGACUGGCUAGACAGUGAGUGAAACCCAUGGAGGGCAAGCUGAAGCAGGGUGGGACAUUGCCUUACCUGGGAAGUGCAAGGGGUCAGGGAACUCCCUCCCCUAGCCAAGGGAAGCCAUGAAGGACUCUGACAUGAAGACUGGUGCACUCCAGCCCAGAUACUACGCUUUUCCCAUGGUCUAUGCAACCCACAGACCAGGAGAUUCCCUCGGGUGCCUAUGCCACCAGGGCCCUGAGUUUCAUAAAACUGGGCAGCCAUCCCGAGCUAGCUGCAGGAAUUUCUUUUCAUACCCCAGUGGUACCAGGAACAUUUAAGUCUGCUGAAGCUGCGCCCACAGCUGCCCCUUCCCCCAAGUGAUCUGUCCCAGGGAGAUGGGAGAUUUAUCUGUAAGCCCCUGAUUGGGGCUGCUGCCUUUCUUUCAGAGAUGCCCUGCCCAGAGAGGAGUCUAGAGAGGCAAUCUGGCUACAGCAGUUUUGAGGCGCUGCAGUGGUAUCCACCCAGUCUGAACUUCCAAGCAGUUUUGUUUACACUGUGAGGGGAAAACUGCCUACUCAAGCCUCAGUAAUGGCAAAUGCUCCUCCUGGCAGCAAGUUUGAGCAUCCCAGGUCGACUUCAGACUGCUGUGCUGGCAGCGAGAAUUUCAAGCCAGUGGAUAUAAGCUUGCCAGUGAGAUAGAACCGUUCAGUCCCCUGGAAAGGGGGCUCAAGCUAGGGAGCCAAGUGGCCUAGCUCAGCGGAUCCCACUCCCAUGGAUCCCAGCAAGCUAAGAUCCACUGGCUUGAAAUUCUUGCUGCCAGCACAGCAGUCUGAAGUUGACCUGGGAUGCUCAAGCUUGCUGUGGGGAGGACCAUUUGCCAUUACUGAGGCUUGAGUAGGUGGUUUUCCCCUCACAGUGUAAACAAAACUGCUAGGAAGUUUGGACUGGGUGGAGCCCACCGCAGCGCCUCAAAGCUGCUGUAGCCCGACUGCCUCUCUAGACUCCUCACUGGCAGGGCAUCUCUGAAAGGAAGGCAGCAGCCCCAGUCAGGGGCUUUUAGAUAAAACUCCCAUCUCUCUGGGACAGAGCACCUGGGGGAAGGGGCGGCUGUGGGCUCAGCUUCAGCAGACUUAAACGUUCCUGCUUGGUGGCUCUUAAGAGAGGAGUGGAUCUCUCAGCACAGCGCUCCAGCUUUGCUAAGGGAUAGACUGCCUCCUCAAGUGGGUCCCUGACCCCCACGCCUCCUGACUGGGAGACACCUCCCAGCAGGAGUUGACAGACACCUCAUACAGGAGAGCUCCAGCUGGCAUCUGGCAGGGGCCCCUCUGGGAUGAAUUUUCCAGAGGAAGGAACAGGCAGCAAUCUUUGCUGUUUUGUAGCCUCUGCUGGUGAUACCCAGGCAAACAGGAGCCAGAGUGGACCUCCAGGAAUCUCCAGAAGACCUGCAGCAGAGAGGCCCGACUGUUAGAAGGAAAAAUAACAAACAGAAAGGAAUAGCAUCAACAUUAACAAAAAAGGAUGUCCACACAGAAACCCCAUCCAAAAGUCACCAACAUCAAAGACCAAAGGUAGAUAAAUCCACGAAGAUGAGGAAAAACCAGUGUAAAAAGGCUGAAAAUUCCGAAAACCAGAACGUCUUUUCUCUUCCAAAGGAUCACAACUUCUUGCCAGCAAGGGAACAAAACUGGAUGGAGAAUGAUUUUGGCUAACAGACAGAAGUAGGUUUCAGAAGGUGGGUAAUAACAAACUCCUCUGAGCUAAUGGAGCAUGUUCUAAUCCAAUGGAAAAAAGCUAUGAACCUUGAUAAAAGGUUAGAGGAAUUGUUAACUAGAAUAACCAGUUUAGAGAAGAACAUAAAUGACCUGAUGGAGCUGAAAAACACAGCAUGAGAACUUCGUGAAGCAUAUACAAGUAUUAAUAGCUGAAUCGAUCGAGCGGAAGAAAGGAUAUCAGAAUUGAAGAUCAACUUAAUGAAAUAAAACAUGAAGCCAAGAUUAGAGAAAAAAGAAUGAAAAGGAACAAACAAAGCUACAAGAAAUAUGGGACUAUGUGAAAAGACCAAACCUGUUUGAUUGGUGUGCCUGAAAGUGACAGGGAGAAUGAAACCAAAUUGGAAAACACUCUUCAGGAUAUUAUCCAGGAGAAGUUCCCCAGUCUAGCAAGAUGGGCCAACAUUCAAAUUCAGGAAAUACAGAGAACACCACAAAGAUACUCUUCGAGAAGAGCAACCCCAAGACACAUAAUCGUCAGAUUCACCAAGGUUAAAAUGGAGGAAAACAUGUUAAAGGCAGCCAAAAUAAAGGUCUGGUUACCCACAAAGGGAAGCCCAUCAAACUAACAGUGGAUCUCUUGGCAGAAACCCUACAAGCCAGAAGAGAGUGGGGGCCAAUAUUCAACAUUCUCAAAGAAAAGGAUGUUCAACCCAGAAUUUUUUAUCCAGUCAAACUAAGCUUCAUAAAUGAAGGAGAAAUAAAACCCUUUACAGACAAGCAAAUGCUGAGAGAUUUUGUCACCAGAUGUGCCUUACAGGAGCUCUUGAAGGAAGCACUAAAUAUGGAAAGGAAAAACCAGUACUAGCCACUGCACAAACAUACCAAAUUGUAAAGACAAUCGACACUGAAGAAACUGCAUCAACUAACGGGUAAAAUAACCAGCUAGCAUCAUAAUGACAGCAUCAGAUUCACACAUAAUCAUAUUAACCUUAAAUGUAAAGGGGCUAAAUGCCCCAAUUAAAAGACACAGAUGGCAAAUUGGAUAGAACCAAGAGCCAUCAGUAUGCUGUAUUCAGGAGACCCAUCUCAUGUGCAAAGACACAAAUAGGCCCAAAAUAAAGGGAUGGAGGAAUAUUUAAACAAAACAAAUGGAAAGCAAAAAACAAAAAGAAAACAAAAAAGCAGGGGUUGCAAUUCUAGUCUCUGGUAAAACAGACUUUAAACCAACAAAGAUCAAAAAAGAAAAAGAAGGGCAUUAUGUAAUAGUAAAGGGAUCAAUGCAACAAGAAGAGCUAACUAUCCUAAAUAUAUAUGCAUCCAAUACAGAAGAAUCCAGAUUCAUAAAGCAAGUUCUUAGAGACCUACAAAGAGACUUAGAGUCCCACACAAUAAUAGUGGGAGACCUAACACCCCACUGUCAAUGUUAGACAGAUCAACAAGACAGAAAAUUAAUAAGGAUAUUCAGGACUUGAACUCAACUCUGGAUCAAGCAGAAGUAAUAGAUAUCUACAGAACUCUCCACCCCAAAUCAACAGAAUAUACAUUCUUCUCUGCACCACAUAGCACUUACUCUAAAAUUGACCACAUAUUUGGAAGUAAAAUAUUCCUCAGCAAAUGCAAAAGAACUAAAUGAUAACACAGUCUCUCAGACCACAGUGCAAUCUAAUUAGAACUCAGGAUUAAGAAACUCACUCAAAACUGCACAACUACAUGGAAACUGAACAACUGCUCCUGAAUGACUACUGGGUUAAUAAUGAAAUUAAGGCAGAAAUAAAUAACAGUUCUUUGAAACCAAUAAGAACAAAGACACAAUGAUGCAGAAUGUUUGGGACACAGCUAAAGCAGUGUUUAGAGAGAAAUUUAUAGCACUAAAUGGGAAAGAUCUAAAGUUGACACCCUAACAUCACAAUUACAAGAACUAGAGAAACAAGAGCAAACAAAUUCAAAAGCUAGCAGAAGACAAGAAAUAACUAAGAUGAGAGCAGAACUGAAGGAGAUAGAGACACGAAAAACUUCAAAAAUCAAUGAAUCCAAGAGGUGUUUUUUUUAAAGAUUAACAAAAUAGAUAGACUGCUAGCCAGACUAAUAAAGAAGAAAAGAGAGAAGAAUCAAAUAGAUGCAAUAAAAAAUGAUAAAGGGGAUAUCACCACUGAUCCCACAGAAAUACAAACUACUAUCAGAGAAUACUAUAAAUACCUCUACACAAAUAAACUAGAAAAUCUAGAAGAAAUGGAUAAAUUCCUGGACACAUACACCCUCCCAAGACUAAACCAGGAAGAAGUCGAAUCCCUGAAUAGACCAAUAACAAGUUCUGAAACAGAGGUAGUAAUUAAUAGCCUUCCAACCAAAAUAAAUCCCAGGACCAGAAGGAUUCAGAGCCGAAUUCUACCAGAGAUACAAAGAGGAGCUGGUACCAUUCCUUCUGAAACUAUUCCAAACAACAGAAAAAGACGACUCAUCCCUAACUCAUUUUAUGAGGCCAUCAUCAUCCUGAUACCAAAACCUGGCAGAGACACAACAAAACAAGAAAAUUUCAAGCCAAUAUCCCUGAUGAACAUCAAUGAGAAAAUCCUCAAUAAAAUACUGGCAAACCGAAUCCAGCAGCAUAUCAAAAAGCUUAUCCACCAUGAUCAAGUCGGCUUCAUCCCUGAGAUGUGAGAGUGUUUCAACAUACUCAGAUUAAUAAAUGUAAUCCAUCACAUAAACAGAAGCAAUGACAAAAACCACAUGAUUAUCUCAAUAAAUGGAGAAAAAGCCUUCGAUAAAAUUCAACACCCCUUCAUGCUAAAAACUCUGAAUAAACUCGGUUUUGAUGGAAUGUAUCUCAAAAUAAUAAGAGCUAUUUAUGACAAACCCACAGCCAAUAUCAUACUGAAUGGGCAAAAGCUGGAAGCAUUCCCUUUGAAAACCAGCAGAAGACAAGGAUGCCCUCUCUCACCACUCCUAUUCAACAUAGUAUUGAAAGUUCUGGCCAGGGCAAUCAGGCAAGAGAGAGAAAUAAAGGAUAUUCAAAUAGGAAGAGAGGAAGUAAAAUUGUCUCUCUUUGCAGAUGCCAUGACUGUUCAUUUAGAAAACCCCAUUGUCUCAGCCCAAAAUCUCCUUAAGCUGAUAAGCAACUUCAGCAAAACUUCACAAAAUCAAUGUGCAAAAAUCACAAGCAUUCCUAUACACCAAUAAUAGACAAACACAGAGCCAAAUCAUGAGUGAACUCCCAUUCACUAUUGCUACAAAGAGAAUAAAAUAUCUAGGAAUGCACCUUACCAGGGAUGUGAAGGACCUCUUCAAGGAGAACUACAAAACACUGCUCAAGGAAAUAAGAGAGGACACAAACAAAUGGAAUGUUAUCCCCAUCAAGCUACCAUUGACUUUCUUCACAGAAAUUGAAAAAACUACUUCAAAUUUCAUAUGGAAUCAAAAAAGAGCCUGCAUAGCCACGACAAUCCUAAGCAAAAAGAACAAAGCUGGAGGCAUCACACUACCUGACCUGAAACUAUACUACAAGGCUACAGUAACCAAAACAGCAUGGUACUGGUACUAAAACAGAUAUGUGGACCAAUGGAACAGAGCAGAGGUCUCAGAAAUAACACCACACAUCUACAAUCAUAUGAUCUUUGACAAACCUGACAAAAGCAAACUAUGGGGAAAGGAUUUCCUAUUUAAUAAUUGGUGUUGGGAAAACUGGCUAGCCAUAUGCAGAAAACUGAAAGUGGACCCCUUCCUUACACUUUAUACAAAAAUUAACUCAAGAUGGAUUAAAGACUUAAACGUAAGACCUAAAACCAUAAACCCUAGAAGAAAACCUAGGCAAUACCAUUCAGGACAUAGGCACGGGCAAAGACUUCAUGACUAAAACACCAAAAUCAAUGGCAACAAAAGCCAAAAUUGACAAAUGGGGUCUAAUUAAACUAAAGAGCUCCUGCACAGCAAAAGAAACUAUCAUCAGGGUGAACAAGCAACCUACAGAAUGGGAGAAAAUUUUUGCAAUCUAUUCAUCUGACAAAGGGCUAAUAUCCAGAAUCUACAAAAAAUUUAAACAGAUUUACAAGAAUGAAACAACCCCAUCAAAAAGUGGGUGAAGGAUAUUAACAGACACUUCUCAAAAGAAGACAUUUAUGUGGCCAACAAACAUUUGAAAAAAAGCUCAUCAUCACUGGUCAUUAGAGAAAUGCAAAUCAAAACCACAAUGAGAUACCAUCGCACUCCAGUUAGAAUGGCGAUCAUUAAAAAGUCAGGAAACAACAGAUGCUGCAGAGGAUGUGGAGAAAUAGAAACACUUUUACACUGUUGGUGGGAGUGUAAUUAGUUCAACCAUUGUGGCAGACAGUGUGGCGAUUCCUCAAGGAUCUAGAACCAGAAAUAUCAUUUGACCCAGCAAUUUCAUUACUGGGUAUAUACCUAAAGGAUUAUAGUCAUUCUACUAUAAAGACCCAUGCGCGCGCACACACACACACACACACACACACACACACAUAUAUUUUGAUAAAAAGUAAACUUUAAUGUCGAAAAUGCAAACUUGGGGAGUGCAGAAGUAUCACACGCAAGGCUGUCACUUCACACUUGGAGAGUUUCACAGCGCCCAGGCAGAGGUGCUCCUUACAUCCCAGAUGAUGCGGGGGCCGGGCAGAGCCGCUCCUCACUUCCCAGAGGGUGGGCGAUGGGCAGAGGUGCUCCUCACUUCCCAGAUGGUGGGCAGCUGGGCAGAAGCACUCCUCACUUCCUAGACAGGGCAGUGGCCAGGCAGAGGGGCUCCUCACUUCCCAGUCAGUUGGGUGGCCAGACAGAGGCGCUCCUCACUUUCCAGACAGGGCGGCAGCCAGAGAGAGGUGCUCCUCACUUGCCAGAUGGGGCAGCAGCCAGGCAGAGGCACUCCUCAUUUGCUAGAUGGUGGGGCCGCCGGGCAGAGGGGCAUUUCACUUCCCAGACAGGGCAGCAGCCAGGUAGAGGAGGCACACGUAUUUUUAUUGCCGCACUGUUCACAAUAGCAAAGACUUGGAGCCAAUCCAAAUGCCAAUCAAUGAUAGACUGGAUAAAGAAAAUGUGGCACAUAUACACCAUGGAACACUAUGCAGCCAUAAAAAAGCAUGACUUCAUGUCCUUUGCAGGGACAUGGAUGAAGCUGGAAACCAUCAUUCUCAGCAAACUAACACAGGAACAGAAAACCAAACACCACAUGUUCUCACUCAUAAGUGAGAGCUGAACAAUGAGAACACAUGGAUACAGGGAGGGGGCCAUCACACACUGGGGCCUGUUGGUGGGUAGGGGGCGAGAGGAGGGAUAGCAUUAGGAGAAAUACCUAAUGUAGAUGAUGGGUUGAUGGGUACAGCAAACCAAGAUGACAUGUGUAUACCUAUGUAACAAACCUGCACGUUCUGCACAUGUAUCCCAGAACUUAAAUUAUAAUAAACUAAAUAAAUAAAAAUUCUGAUAUUUUUAAUCCAAGAGGGGUAAAGAUGGGAAAAUAAGAAGACAAAUACAGUCAUGCUCUGCAUAAUGAGGUUUCAUUCAACAAUGGAGCACAUAUACAAUGGUGGUCCCAUAAGAUUACAAUAUCAAGUUGGUGCAAACAUAAUUGUAGUUUUUGCAAUUACUUUUAAUAGCAAAAACCACAAUUACAUUCGCAUGAACCUAAUAAAAUAUUUUUACUGUAACAUUUCUAUGGUUAGAUAUAUUUGUAUACACAAAUAGUUGCCACUGUGUUGCAAUUGCCUACAGUAUUCAGCACAGUAACAUGUUGUACCAAUUUGUAGUGUGUAGUAGACUAUACCAUCUAGGUGUGUGUAAUUACAAUCACUCUAUGAUGUUUGCACAACCGCAAAAUCACCUAAUAAUGUAUUUCUCAGAUUGUAUCACAUCAUGAAGUAAUGUAUGACUAUAAUCAUAUAUAUGAUGGUGGCAAGGGAACACAAUCACUAUGUCAUCUCCAGAUGCUUUGAGCCAAUAGUUUUUCUUGUUUCUUUUUCUAUGUCAACAAAAAAUUGUGAAGUUUUAAAUAAUUUCUCAAGAUUAAUAGUAAUAACAUAUUUCACAAUUUAUUGAGCUGACUUCAUGUACUUUAAAAAUUUCUCUCAUAUUUUCAACAACUGCAACUUUCGGACUUCUAGAAAGCUCAAAGAGAUGAACAGUCCAUGUACUGACCUGUUCCUGAUUUCUACAGCCUCACCUCUGCCACCACAUCUGCCUCUUACACAUCUCUAUGUUUUUGGUUUACAACUUGAUGUAAGAUGGUAGGUGGUGGGUCGAGUUCUGGGAGAUUCCUGAAAAAUGUAGCCUUAAUGAGAGAAAUCAACAUAUAUUCCAAAAAUUAGGGGUUUAGUAGUGAGGAAUGGGUGGUUUCAUCUUCAUUUGCCUUUCCUUGUAUAUUUUGUACACUUCUUAAAACUAAAAUUGUAAUACAACUGCAUUAAGGGUGAUUGGAAUUUAGGGACUGCAGAGGGGAAAAAGACAGCAUCUGGUUUGAUGUACUGUAAAUCUCAGGGAAUCUAACCAAUGGUAUGUUUAUUAAAAUUAUAAUCUGUACUUUUCCUAGAAGCGGUAGUUAAUGCAAGAAUUAAACAUUUGUAAAUAUUGCAUAGUGAAUUCAUUUUUGAAAAAGUUUGCUAUGAGUUCUUCACAGAAAUUAUAUGGGUAUCUAACUCAGGAUGUUCCUGCAGCCUAAAGCAGUAUACCGAAUCCUAAGUCUACACUAAAAUUUGAAGUGAAUGUCUAGAUCCAUCCUUAGGGUAGGGGCA